CCUACGGGCGGCAGCAGUGAGGAAUAUUGGUCAAUGGUCGGGAGACUGAACCAGCCAAGCCGCGUGAGGGAUGAAGGUACAGAGUAUCGUAAACCUCUUUUGUCAGGGCACAAAGGCGGGGACGCGUCCCCGGAUGAGUGUACCUGAAGAAAAAGCAUCGGCUAACUCCGUGCCAGCAGCCGCGGUAAUACGGAGGAUGCGAUCGUUAUCCGGAUUUAUUGGGGUAAAAGGGUGCGCAUGAGGUCUGUUAAGUCAGUGGUCAAAGCCCGGGGCGAAACCCCUGCCCGCCGUUGAAACUGGCAGUCUCGAGUUGGAGAGAAGUAUGCGGAAUGCGCGGUGUAGCGGUGAAAUGCAUAGAUAUCGCGCAGAACUCCGAUUGCGAAGGCAGCAUGCCGGCUCCACACUGACGCUGAGGCACGAAAGCGUGGGUAUCGAACAGUAUUAGAUACCCUAGUAGUC
rnacentral:rRNA from 1 species